UAAAUACAAAUUCACCAGUUUACAAACAGAAAAACUAUCUGAUCCAAACAGUGUUUUUUAUCUUAAUAGAAAAAUAACAGCAAAUUUAAAGCAGGCAGAGAAGAAACUAGAGAAAAAAGAGGACUCAGGAACUCUACAGUUUGCAGGUCAACCUCAGGGCUCCUUUUUUUUUAAUGUAAAUGUGCAGAAAGACCAUAUUACUUCCACUUUACAUAAACUCUGGCAAGUAGAGGCGCCAUGAACCCUAUGGAGUACUCGGCUGGGAGGAGCAAACGCCCUUUCUCUUUGGAGCUGAGAAAACUCAAUCUCUCAUUUACCUAUGACAACAACAGUUCAGUUCCUCAUGCAAAUACAUAGACAACCCAAACUGAGAUUCAUUUUGGGAGAAAAAGCAAUAGAGAAGACCCUUUAGGAUGCAUCUCUGAACUAGAAUUAGGAUCCUUAAAUCACAGCUUCCUAGAAGAGAAAAAAAAAAAAACAAAAAAACAGCCAAGACCAUUCCCUGUAAACUGUGCUCAGCCACCCCUUCUUUGUAGUUCUCGUCUGCCAUUACACACGCCAAGGUCAAAUCCUCUCACAGUGCAGGGUCAUCUCUGGUUCCCCCAAAGCCAAAGAGGUCAGGUCAUGCCGUACAGGAAGACAGCAGAGCUUUAGACCUAAGAAGAAUCCGCCCAUCACUCUUGAAACUCCACAAAGAAAACAGAGCACCCUGGAAGGGGUGAGUGGCCCCUUUGUUCCGGAUCCUUUAAAGGGGCUCGAGUCAUUGGAAGCCUUCUCUAGAUUUUUUUGGUCCCGCAGAUGGCAAAGGCAGGAGGAGGUAUAGGGAGGAAGAAAAGUAAGUGAAAGAGCAUUUGUUGUUUUUGUUUGUUUGUUUUUUAAGACAGAAAGCAAACACAGAAACCAAGCACGUGAUUUGUUGUUUUCGUUUAGUUUUUUCCUCUUUUGCAGCUGCAAGGAAUUUUAGCCAAAUUAGAGAGGCUUUGUUACCCAUAAUUUGGAAUUCUCACUUGGAUUUGACCAAGUCAGGUAGAGUUGGUCAAAUCUGAUGAGAGAAAGACCAGAAAAAACAACAACAACAAAAGUCAAAUGAUAUGACCACAGACUGCUCUAAUGGGAAGAAGAAAUUCAGACCAGCUGGUUGUUAACCUUCAGCCAAGACAAAACCUCAGUUCAGCUACUUACCUAGGGAUGGGUCUCAGGCUGAAGACUGCUCUCUACCAUCCUUGAAGCAGGAAAAAAACUCGAACUUGUCUUCCCUGCUGGGAGCAAGCUCAAACUCCAUAAAAGAGUUGUCAGCCUUCCAUCAUCACGGACCCAGGAAAUCUUGCCUUCCUUCUUGGAAGCAAAUAAAACUCCAAAAGAAGGAGAGGGGGAGUUGUACAUCAAAUAAACUUUAGAUCACGACCAAGUUUUGAGAGAUCAGGGACUCUAUGGAGGGGGUGCUCCCAGACCUCAGCAAAUUGUCCUGUUGGUUUGAGCCAUAAGGUUAGCUCAUGGUGCUACCAAGCACCAAUAGAUCUGUCAAAGGUCAGGGGUACCUCAACUCAGAAUCCCUCCAUGGUUACCAAAAUGUGAACCCCCCAAAUCUGAGACAGGUCUCAGUUAAUUUAGAAAGUUUAUUGUUCCAAGGUUGAAGAUGCACACCCGUGACACAGCCUCAGGAUGUCCUGACGACAUGUGCCAAGGUGGUCAUACGUUUUAGGGAGACAUGAGACAUCAAUCAACACAUGUAAGAUGAACAUUGGUUCAGUCUGGAAAAGGCCGGGCAACGCCAAGCAAAUGUGGGACAACUCGCAGCCAGGAGAAAGCUUCCAGGUCACAGGUGGGUGAGAGACAAAGGUCGCAUUCUUUUGAGUUUCUGAUGGGCCUUUCCAAAGAAGGCAAUCAGAUAUGCAUCUAUCUCAGUGAGCAGGGGGUGAUUUUGAAUAGAAUGGGGGGCAGGUCGGCCCUAAGCCAUUCCCGGCUUGACUUUCCCCUUUAGCUUAGUGAUUUUGGGGGCCCAAGAUUUAUUUUCCUUUCACAAAACAAUAAACAUAACAAAUAAGUGAAUUAUAGAAAGGUGAAAACUAUGGAAAAAAAAGAAAAACAGAGAGAAAGAAUCCUGAACACUGACGUGGGGAGGGCAGGUGCCAGCUGCAGUACUAAAUAGCAGAGGGGAGGGCAGGUGCCAGCUGCAGUACCAAAUACUGGUGUGGGGAGGGCAGGUGCCAGCUGCAGUGCGUGGGGAGGGCAGGUGCCAGCUGCAGUACUAAAUAGCGGGGGAAGAUUUUUUUCUGAGCAACUUUGAGUCACUGCUCACAUCUCAUGCCAAUGUAUUAAUCCCAAGUCAAGGGUCAGAUGAGGCACUCGGAUCUCUCCAGUUGCCAACACAGCUCUUCCAAGUGUACUUUACUUCCUUUCAUUCCUGCUCUAAAACUUUAUUUAUGUAUUUAUUUUUGAGACAGAAUCUUGCUCUGUCGCCUAGGCUGGAGUGCAGUGGCACAAUCCCAGUUCACUGCAACCUCUGCCUCUGGGAUCAGGCAAUUCUCCUGCCUCAGCUUCCUAAGCAGCUGGGAUAACAGGCGUGCACCACCGUGCUUGGCUAAUUUUUUUUUUCUUUUUUCGUAUUUUGAGUAGAGAUGGGGUUUCACCAUAUUAGCCACGAUGGUCUCGUACUUCUGACCUCAGGUGAUCCACCUGCUUUAGCCUCCCAAAGUGCUGGGAUUACAGGUGUGAGCCACCACGCCCAGCCCUGGCCAACUUUUGUUUUUUUUGAGACAGAGUUUCAUUCUUAUUGCCCAGGCUGGAGUGCGAUGGCCCAAUCUUGGCUCACUGCAACCUCUGCCUCCCAGGUUUGUAGGAUAUAAUAAAUUCUUCUUCAAAGGUUUUAGCCUGUAAAUUGUUAAGUACAAUGAGUUCUGAGAUCCUCUCCAAAGAAUCAAUGUAUCAGUAUGUUCAGCUCUUCAUUUUAAAGUUUAACUUCCUCGUUUUCUUCAUCUCCUUGCCCCUAGUUUCAGUAAACAACCCCCUCCUAGCCUCUAUCACCUGCUCCAUCCUGAGUCACCCCCAGUCACCUGCUCUAAUCUGAGUCAUCCUGAGUCAACAGGGUUUCACCAUGUUGGCCAAGUUGGUCUCGAACUCCUGACCUCAUGUGAUCCGCCCACCUCAGCCUCCCAAAGUGCUGGGAUUACAGGUGUAAGCCAUCGUGCCUGGCCAGUUUUCACUUUAAAAUGAUCUCUAAUACCAACUCUUGGGGUCCGAAUGGGUCCCCACUGGUUUCAAAUGUUGAGCAUGCACAGAUUAUGUGGAUGAGAACUUGCCAGGUGGGCUUACCGAAGGAGACGUGGUAAGAAUCGCCUACAUCUGCCAGGCCCUGAGGACAGGCCCUCUCCACACCGAGGCUUAUUUCCUUGGGUUGCAGAAGAGGAAACGCCAGGGAGCCCAGUAUUCUUUGGUUCAUUCACUUCUUUUUUAUGUUGUAACCUACAUACUGUAAACUACGCCCAGCUUAAGUAGCGUAUACCCUGAUGAAUUUUUAUGUACGUAUGUAUCCCCAGGAUGUAUCCGACACUCAGGUCAAGAUACAGAACGUGCUCAGCACCUCAACAGGUGCCCUUGUGUUCCCUUCCAGUCAAGCCCCCACUUGCCACCACAGAAUGGAACAAUCAUUUUUUUUUUUUUUUUAGAGACAGGGUCUCGCUCUGUCUCCAAAGCUGGAGUGCAGCUCCAUCAUGGUUCACUGCAGCCUCCGCCUCCCGGGUUUGAGCGAUCCUCCCAUUUCAGUGUAACCACCAUUCUUAUCUCUAUCACCAUAGAUUAGCUCUGCAUGUCUUUGAACUUCAUAUAAAUGGAAUCAUGCAUAGAUAGGCUCUUUUGUGUCUGGAUUCUCUCUGUUAACACUGUGUCUGUGAGACUCACUCACGCUGUGUGUAGUAUUAUGCUUCAUCCUUUUUUGUUGUUGCAUAGUAUUCCACUGUAUAAAUAUACCACAAUUUAUUUGUCUGUUUUCCUAUUGCUGUGCAUUUGGAUUGUUUUGUUUUUCACUAUUUUGAAUAAAGCUGCUAUGAACAUCCUUGUGUAUGUCUUGGGUAUACAGAUGGUCCUGGCUUACAAUGAUUGGAUUUAAAAUUGUUUGACUUUAUGAUGGGCUUAUCAGGGUAUUAAAUGUGUUUCUGACUUACAGUAUUUUUGACUUACCACGUGUUUAUUGGGACGUAACCCCUUCCUAAGAUGAAGAGCAUCUGUAUACAUCCAGAAUCCUGUGGAGCAACUCAUAACCCAUGAGGAAUGGAAGCCGACAGACAGACUCAUCCCCAGGACAGGUGGUUCUCACUACAUCUCAUAAAGCUUCUUAGAAGAUCUUACAGGAUUGAGCAACCAGCCAGCCACAGCAGGGGCCAACUGGAUAACACGUCUUUGCAUAGGCUCUCCCUCUGUCCCUGUCACCCUCCCCUUUUCCUAACCUUGUUCCUUGGGAUUAUGUUUUGAAAUAAAUUAUUCAGAGAAAUGAAGCCAAAGCUGACCCAUUAGCCAAUAGCUAGGUUCUGUGAUGACAGAGCUUCUGGGCUAUAAUCGUUUACUGAGAAGCCAGCGUUCCUGAGGGGAUAAUGGCUCGUUCCAUUCAGCUGCAGCAUAGGAGUGAGGGCAGGGCAUUAGCAGAAGAUAACACCAGAAACGUGCUCUGGGGCCUGUUGAUGACUUUCUGUGCCAAGCACAGACAUUUAGCCUUUAUUCUGUAUGUGAUGGGAAGCCAGUGCCAGUGGUGGGUUUGAGCAGGGAACCAGCAACCAGUGGUGGGUUUGAGCAGGGAACCAGCAAUACUCAAGCUCUGCUUGGAUGGAGGCCAGUCAGGGAGGAGUUAGGGCAGGAGGACCAGUCAGGGAGGAGACUUAGGGCAGGAGGACCAGUCAGGGAGGAGACUUAGGGCAGGAGGACCGGUCAGGGAGGAGACUUAGGGCAGGAGUACUGGUCAGGGAGGAGACUUAGGGCAGGAGGACCGGUCAGGGAGGAGACUUAGGGCAGGAGGACCGGUCAGGGAGGAGACUUAGGGCAGGAGGACCGGUCAGGGAGGAGUUAGGGCUGGAGGACGGGUCAGGGAGGAGACUUAGGGCAGGAGGACCGGUCAGGGAGGAGUUAGGGCUGGAGGACCGGUCAGGGAGGAGUUAGGGCAGGAGGACUGGUCAGGGAGGAGACUUAGGGCAGGAGGACCGGUCAGGGAGGAGACUUAGGGCAGGAGGACCGGUCAGGGAGGAGACUUAGGGCAGGAGGACUGGUCAGGGAGGAGACUUAGGGCAGGAGGACAGGUCAGGGAGGAGUUAGGGCUGGAGGACGGGUCAGGGAGGAGUUAGGGCUGGAGGACCGGUCAGGGAGGAGUUAGGGCAGGAGGACAGGUCAGGGAGGAGUUAGGGGAGGAGGACCGGUCAGGGAGGAGUUAGGGCAGGGGGAUUGGUCAGGGAGGAGUUAGGGCAGGGGGAUUGGUCAGGGAGGAGUUAGGGCAGGAGGACCGGUCAGGGAGGAGUUAGGGCAGGAGGACCGGUCAGGGAGGAGACUUAGGGCAGGAGGACUGGUCAGGGAGGAGUUAGGGCAGGAGGACCGGUCAGGGAGGAGUUAGGGCAGGAGGACCGGUCAGGGAGGAGACUUAGGGCAGGGGGAUUCGUCAGGGAGGAGUUAGGGCAGGAGGACCGGUCAGGGAGGAGUUAGGGCAGGAGGACUGGUCAGGGAGGAGUUAGGGCAGGAGGAUCGGUCAGGGAGGAGUUAGGGCAGGAGGACCGGUCAGGGAGGAGUUAGGGCAGGAGGACCGGUCAGGGAGGAGUUAGGGCAGGAGGACAGGUCAGGGAGGAGACUUAGGGCUGGAGGACUGGUCAGGGAGGAGUUAGGGCAGGAGGACCAGUUAGGAGGCAGUGACUUAGGACUUCAGCAGUGGCACUAGAAAGGGGAUGGAUAUGAACGACAUUGCAAAGUAAAACUAGAGAGACGGCCGGGCACAGUGGCUCACUCCUGUAAUCCCAGCACUUUGGGAGGCCAAGGCGGGUGGAUCAUGAGGUCAGGAGAUCGAGACCAGCCUGGCCAACAUGGUGAAACCCUAUCUCUACUAGAAAAAAAAAAAAAUAGCCAGGCGUGGUGGCGGGCGCCUGUAAUCCCAGCUACUCCAGAGGCUGAGGCAGGAGAAUUUGCUUGAACCAGGGAGUCGGAAGUUGCAGUGAGCUGAGAUCGCACCACUGCACUCCAGCCUGGGCAAUAGAGUGAGACUCCGUCUCAAUAACAAAACAAACAAACAAAAACCUAGAGAGACUUGGCACCUUGCAGAGAGAAGCAAAAGAUGACCCUGAGGUCUGGAGUCCAGGAAGCCAAGGACAGCAAAAGCAUCCACAGAAACAGGAAAAGGGCAGGUGUGGGAGGGAAGGUGAGAGGUUCAUCAGACCUCACAGCCCCUGGCAGCGCCUCCUGGAUCUUUGAAAUCCUGUGCACCCCAGGAGACUCCGGGAGGCCCAUCUGAGCUCACCGGAGACAGGUCUGCCGUCUCUCCUCUCAUCACUGGGGACAGAAAGCCUGAACAUGAGGCCUGGACUACGGGGCUCAGACCAGAAUAUUUCCAGACUUAAGGGCAGUAAUGUGGAGCCCAGGAAGGAAUAUUGAGGACAGAGGGCACAUUACUUAGCUCAAGGGGUGCUGGGUUCUUAUUUUCUACUUUCAAGAAAUGUUUGCUAUAGUCACUGUAACCACCACAAAACAGUGAAUAAUACCAUGAGCCAAAUGUAUGUUUCACAAUUUGUAUGGCUGAUUCUACGCACAUUUAAAUGUGUUUAUGACAAUUGUAGAUUUCGGUUUUCCUCUGG
rnacentral:lncRNA from 10 species